rnacentral:rRNA from 1 species
AUUGAACGCUAGCGGGAUGCUUUACACAUGCAAGUCGAACGGCAGCACGAAGAGCUUGCUCUUUGGUGGCGAGUGGCGAACGGGUGAGUAAUAUAUCGGAACGUGCCCAGUAGCGGGGGA